ensembl:lincRNA
CAGAAGAAUGGCAAUUCCAUUUUCAAUGCCUUUUUUCCAACCAUUUCUGGAGAUCUAAUUCAAUAUAUUACAAACAUCAUAUCCUCAUAUUGAACAUCUGUCUCAAUCUCUGCUUUCUGAAUUUAAUGGAAAUGAAUUGACAAAAAUAUAGAGAGAGACAAUUCCUUUUUUCAUUUGAAUGAAAGAUUCAUUUAUCUUUUCCUGGAUUUCUAAUUUUGCUAAAAUUUUGGUCAUAAUUUAAGGCUAUUACAGAGCACCCCUGUAAGACUUUGGGUUGCAAAUGACAGAAAUACAACUCAAAUGCCCUGAGAAUAGGAGUAAAAAAGAAAAGGAAGUAGAUUGACUCAAAUAACUUGAAUUCUAUGUAGGCUUCAGGCACCACUGGAUGAAGGGUCUUAAACAAUGCCACUGGCUAUCUGACUUUCCCUCUGUCACUUAGCUUUAUUUCCUUUCAUAUGUGGCUUUAUUUUUGCAGACAGGAUCUCUCCAUAUAGUAAGGGUAAGGACAAUCAGCAGUGGAGUAUUCACAUCUCCACCCCAGCACUUUGACUUCAAAAAAGCAUAAAACAGUCUUUUGUUAUCACUUAAGGAAAACUGUGGUGAUUAGCCCCACUUGUGUUGCAUAUCAGCUCCUGGCACCACAAAAGAUUGUCACAAUGAAACCACACAGGAUGGAGGAGAGCAGUUCAGGAAGGAAGGGAUGCUGGCCCACAAUUUAGAGAAGAAACUGAAAACUCUCUACUGUGUUCUUGGACCAGUCUGUGGGUAACAUAAUCAUCUCCCUUUUCUUCAUGAUUGGUCCCAAUCUCUAUACCCAGGGACCAGGUCUGGCUUUUGACAGUGAGGCCAAUACAAGGUCACAAUGGUACCCUUGGUGACCCACUAUUACCCUAUCUGAGCACCAGCACAGUAAAGAUAAAUUAAGAAGACUUUGCCUAAAACAUUCUGCAUCUUGAGCAAAAUCAGGGAUUAGAUCAGCUGAAGUGUCAUGUCUGGUACCUCUUGGAGCUCUUGGCACAGGGUAGAAGCCAAAGGAAAGCAGGUAACAUCAUAAGUGCCAAGUCCUCAUCUCCUCUCAAAAGUUCCAUCCCAUUCAGAGGUUGCAUCAGCAACAUCGCAAGUGAUCCAAGCUCCACAGCUCAACUCCAUCCAUCAAAAGGCUAUCCACACACCCCAGCUCUGCACAAUGACUUGCAGUCAUUUCGGUUUUACAGAAAAACUAACCCUUUAGGAUAUUUGAAGGUGAGGUGGAAGAAGAAAGAAAAAAUGGUUACAGACCUGGUCCUGAAGUCUAAUCAAGAAUGGAGGAAGGACAUCAAAGCAGGGUGUCUUUUUCAUCCUGCCUCCCAAGAGUAGUCUGCCAUGAGAAAUACAAAAUCAUGCAAUUUAAUAAUCAAAAAUACAUUUUAAAGAAAAGAGAAGUAGAUGUACUAGAUAGCUGGGAUGUCUUGGUUGCUACAAUUGAAUAUUAACUUAACUGUAAGCUUCUACCUGCCAGCUAGGGCAAAAAUUCUAGGUACUGGACUGGUCCUAUGAGUGAGUCAGCAUACAACAGCUACGUUGGAGGGUUAACUUUCUCCAGAUUCCAUUUUUAGGUAUGUAAUAAUAAAUGUGCAAUGUCCUGUCCUGAUAUAUUAGAAAGGAUGUAUUUACUUUAAGCACAUGUAUCCACGUAGAGUUCACAGAACUAAUACACACAUAGAAUAUAGGGAUGAUUUGCAAGAACUCCCCCUUGUCACAGGAUGCAUUCCUCCUGCAGAGCAUGCAAAGUGUAGAGCAGUGGAGAGAGAAGGGGGUCACCAAGGAAGGCACUAAAGGAAAAGAAUGAUCAUUUGUUAAAGUAUUAUGCCAUGUCAUCAUAUCUUCUCAACAGCUAAGUAAAAUAAGCAUUAAUAGUCACGAUUUUAUACUUGAUAAUGGCAAAGGCUAAGUAAUAACUAGAAUAUUAUUUACCUAAAAAAUAACUAGAGGAAUAUAAUUUGAGCCUAGAUCUAUCACCUCCAUUUCUUAUAAAUGGAAGAUGGGCAUCUGGUCCCCAUUCCGUCUCUUGCUAGUUGUGUGACUGACCUGAGGCAAGUCACAAAAAACUCCCUUGAUACCUGAGUCAUCAGCUGAUAAAAGGGAUCACUGGGUUGGUGGAAAAGUAAAAAUGAAAUAAUAGGUAAAACUGGCUGGGCACAGUGGCUCAUGCCUGUAAUCCCAGCACUUUGGGAGGCCAAGGCAGGCAGAUGGCUUGAGCCCAGGAGUUCAAGACCAAUCUGGCCCACGAUCUUAAAAACCUCAUCUGUAAUAAAAAUACAAAAAUUAGCUGGGCAUGGUGGCACGUGCCUGUAAUCCCAGUUACUCAG